rnacentral:rRNA from 1 species
GUACACUCCUACGGGAGGCAGCAGUGGGGAAUAUUGGACAAUGGGCGCAAGUCUGAUCCAGCCAUGCCGCGUGAGUGAUGAAGGCCCUAGGGUUGUAGAGCUCUUUCACCGGUGAAGAUAAUGACGGUAACCGGAGAAGAAGCCCCGGCUAACUUCGUGCCAGCAGCCGCGGUAAUACGAAGGGGGCUAGCGUUGUUCGGAUUUACUGGGCGUAAAGCGCACGUAGGCGGACUAUUAAGUCAGGGGUGAAAUCCCGGGGCUCAACCCCGGAACUGCCUUUGAUACUGGUAGUCUUGAGUUCGAGAGAGGUGAGUGGAAUUCCGAGUGUAGAGGUGAAAUUCGUAGAUAUUCGGAGGAACACCAGUGGCGAAGGCGGCUCACUGGCUCGAUACUGACGCUGAGGUGCGAAAGCGUGGGGAGCAAACAGGAUUAGAUACCCGAGUAGUCCCAUG